rnacentral:rRNA from 1 species
GAUGAACGCUGGCGGCGUGCCUAAUACAUGCAAGUCGAGCGAACGGACGAGAAGCUUGCUUCUCUGAUGUUAGCGGCGGACGGGUGAGUAACACGUGGAUAACCUACCUAUAAGACUGGGAUAACUUCGGGAAACCGGAGCUAAUACCGGAUAAUAUUUUGAACCGCAUGGUUCAAAAGUGAAAGACGGUCUUGCUGUCACUUAUAGAUGGAUCCGCGCUGCAUUAGCUAGUUGGUAAGGUAACGGCUUACCAAGGCAACGAUGCAUAGCCGACCUGAGAGGGUGAUCGGCCACACUGGAACUGAGACACGGUCCAGACGCCUAAGGGAGGAAGCAGUAGGGAAGCUUCCGCAAUGGGCGAAAGCCUGACGGAGCAACGCCGCGUGAGUGAUGAAGGUAUUCGGAUCGUAAAACUCUGUUAUUAGGGAAGAACAUAUGUGUAAGUAACUGUGCACAUCUUGACGGUACCUAAUCAGAAAGCCACGGCUAACUACGUG